UCCGGUGGUCAUAGCGUUGGGGAAACGCCCGGUUACCUUUCCGAACCCGGUAGCUAAGCCCAACUGCGCCGAUGGUACUGCACUCGGGAGGGUGUGGGAGAGUAGGUCGCUGCCGGAC
rnacentral:rRNA from 1 species